GACGAACGCUGGCGGCAUGCCUAACACAUGCAAGUCGAACGGUAAGGCCCCUUCGGGGGUACACGAGUGGCGAACGGGUGAGUAACACGUGGGUAACCUGCCCUUCACUGGGGGACAACCGAGGGAAACUUCGGCUAAUACCGCAUGAUGUGCGCUGUCACGAGAUGGCGUACCAAAACUCCGGUGGUGAAGGAUGGGCCCGCGGCGGAUUAGCUUGUUGGUGGGGUAAUGGCCUACCAAGGCGACGAUCCGUAGCUGGUCUGAGAGGACGAUCAGCCACACUGGGACUGAGACACGGCCCAGACUCCUACGGGAGGCAGCAGUGGGGAAUCUUGCGCAAUGGGCGAAAGCCUGACGCAGCAAUGCCGCGUGAGGGAAGAAGGUCUUAGGAUUGUAAACCUCUUUCAGCAGGGACGAAAACAGACGGUACCUGCAGAAGAAGCCCCGGCUAACUACGUGCCAGCAGCCGCGGUAAUACGUAGGGGGCGAGCGUUGUCCGGAAUCAUUGGGCGUAAAGAGCGUGUAGGCGGACUGGAAGGUCUGGUGUGAAAGCCCGGGGCUCAACCCCGGAGGGUCACCGGAAACCGACAGUCUUGAAUCUGGAAGAGGAGAGUGGAAUUCCUGGUGUAGCGGUGGAAUGCGCAGAUAUCAGGAGGAACACCAAUGGCGAAGGCAGCUCUCUGGUACAUGAUUGACGCUGAGACGCGAAAGCGUGGGGAGCGAACAGGAUUAGAUACCCUGGUAGUCCACGCCGUAAACGAUGGGUGCUAGGUGUGGGAGGUGUCGACUCCUUCCGUGCCG
rnacentral:rRNA from 1 species